GACAGAGGGUGCAAACGUUGUUCGGAAUUACUGGGCGUAAAGCGAGUGUAGGCGGUUUGGGAAGUCGGAUGUGAAAGCCCCGGGCUCAACCCGGGAAGUGCACUCGAUACUGCCAAGCUAGAGUAUCGGAGAGGUUGGUGGAAUUCUCGGUGUAGAGGUGAAAUUCGUAGAUAUCGAGAGGAACACCGGUGGCGAAGGCGGCCAACUGGACGAAUACUGACGCUGAGACUCGAAAGCGUGGGGAGCAAACAGG
rnacentral:rRNA from 1 species